AUUAUCCAAGCUGAAUAAUAUUUACCUAUUUUUAUAUAUCCAUAUACACACACACGUAAGUAAAUAUAAAAUAAAAAGUUCUGCUUAGCUACUCUGCAGUGAUUCUGCAAAAGCAAAGAAGUAUACGCUUCAUGACGGAGAAGGCUCAGGAGAAAAAGGAUAAUGUGAUAACUAAUCUACAAAUAUUUGACGGAUAGCUUAUUCCAAAUGAAAACAAGAUAUGUAUAUUACAGGUAAAAAGAAGCUUAAAGACAAAAUUUGUAAAGUUACAGUGUUGAUCAACUACCAGAGGAAACCGCCUUAUAACAAAUUAUUGAAUGAAAUAAUAGUCUCUAGAGAACAAUAAAUAAUCCAUUACUUCUGACUAUUGAAAGAGCCCUGGGAAAAUCUAAAAAAGUUUGCAGAAAAUACUUGUCACGUUCACUGGCAGACGGAUUUAAUGUGUUACGUUUCCCAUCCCUGACUUCUGUUCUAACCACGGGAAAGCUUGUUCUUUAAUCAAUGUGUAUUUGUCCCAGCAAAACCAGAAGUGGUUGUCAAUUUAAAAGCAUACUAAAUAGAUUUCUGAUUUUUUUUUAAUAUAAAAAUUUGAAUUCUGAAAUCAAGGAGAUUUUGACAGCAAGACAUAAAUCAGAUUCUUUGGACUAACAAUGAACACUUUCUUCCUCUGGUCACCAGAGAUCCCCUUCAUGACCUAGGGCCUCUGGAAGUGGUGGCGACAGCAGCAAGGUCUGCUGCCACCGUGGAUGGGAGCAGGCAACCUGUUGUAGCCCUCAGGACAGGACUGGAGAGGUCGAGAGCCAAGGAGGGCUGAGUGCCUACCGCAGAGAGGAAGACGGGCAGCAAAAAUAAACAGGAUAGCAGGUCUUCCAGGGAUAAUAAUUCUGUUUGGCCAGUAAUUCAGAAAACCUGUAGUUACCUUGGCACAGAGCACUUAACAAAUCUGAUUUUAAGCUUCUGAGAAAGAGAGUACCCUAAACCUUUCCAAGAUCAUUGCUUGUGAAUUCCAAGACCCUCAUCUGCAAAUUUUUCAUCAUUUCAUCAUUUUAUUGGCUUCUGAAAGAAGUAAUGCCUGAGUCAUUUGCAUGACUUCUGCUGGAUCUUGUCCCAUCCAAGGGCCUAAUUAUGGACAGACACAUCAACUUUAAAAAGAAAGUAGACAACAAACACCCUGCUGCAACUGUGACAACACACAACGUACUUUAACUUGGGCACUCAACAAACGUUUUGAGAGAAAUGUAUGUUUUCUGCUAAA